rnacentral:rRNA from 1 species
GACGAACGCUGGCGGCGUGCUUAACACAUGCAAGUCGAACGAUGAACCCGGAGCUUGCUCCGGUGGAUUAGUGGCGAACGGGUGAGUAACACGUGAGUAACCUGCCCUUGACUCUGGGAUAACUGCGGGAAACUGUAGCUAAUACCGGAUACGACCCUCGGCGGCAUCGCCAGGGGGUGGAAAGAAUUUCGGUCAAGGAUGGACUCGCGGCCUAUCAGCUAGUUGGUGAGGUAACGGCUCACCAAGGCGACGACGGGUAGCCGGCCUGAGAGGGUGACCGGCCACACUGGGACUGAGACACGGCCCAGACUCCUACGGGAGGCAGCAGUGGGGAAUUUUGGACAAUGGGGGCAACCCUGAUCCAGCCAUGCCGCGUGAGUGAUGAAGGCCUUAGGGUUGUAAAGCUCUUUUACCGAUGAAGAUAAUGACGGUAGUCGGAGAAAAAGCCCCGGCUAACUUCGUGCCAGCCGCCGCAGUAA